rnacentral:rRNA from 1 species
AGCAGCCGCGGUAAUUCCAGCUCCAAUAGCGUAUAUUAAAGUUGUUGCGGGUAAAAAGCUCGUAGUUGGAUCUCUUCUCUGUUGGUGGGUGGUCUUCCUCAGUUGGGAGUUACUGCCUCACCCGAGAACUCAUUUACUGGGUCCCGGUCGCGAGGCCGGGGUUCGUGUCUCCGUGCCCUUUACCGGGUGCGGGGGCCGCUCAGUAGGUUUACUUUGAAAAAAU